UGUCUUCAACUGGUACCGGAUGAACCGGGGCGCUGAUUGACGCUUAAAUUAAUCCUGUGCUUGGCACCGUGAGAUAAAGCCAAUACGGCAGGUGUUCACGUAAAACACAUUGACUUUAAUGUCCCUAUCUACUAUCUAGCGAAACCACAGCCAAGGGAACGGGCUUGGAAUAAUUAGCGGGGAAAGAAGACCCUUUUGAGCUUGACUCUAAUCUGGCAGUGUAAGGAGACAUAAGAGGUGUAGCAUAAGUGGGAGAUAUUAGAUUUCGGUUUGGUAUCGACAAUGAAAUACCACUACUCUUAUUGUUUCCUUACUUACUUGAUUAAAUGGAACGUGUAUCAUUUCCUAGCCAUUAUACGGAUAUAUUUAUUAUAUCUUAUGGUAUUGGGUUUUGAUGCAAGCUUCUUGAUCAAAGUAUCACGAGUUUGUUAUAUAAUCGCAAACAAAUUCUUUAAUGAGAAAAUGCAUUUAUGUAUUUUCAAUUUGAAAAUUUGGUAUAACUCCAAUUACUCAGGUAUGAUCCAAUUCAAGGACAUUGCCAGGUAGGGAGUUUGACUGGGGCGGUACAUCUCUCAAAUAAUAACGGAGGUGUCCCAUGGCCAGCUCAGUGCGGACAGAAACCACACAUAGAGCAAAAGGGCAAAUGCUGACUUGAUCUCGGUGUUCAGUACACACAGGGACAGCAAAAGCUCGGCCUAUCGAUCCUUUUGGUUUAAAGAGUUUUUAACAAGAGGUGUCAGAAAAGUUACCAUAGGGAUAACUGGCUUGUGGCGGCCAAGCGUUCAUAGCGACGUCGCUUUUUGAUCCUUCGAUGUCGGCUCUUCCUAUCAUUGUGAAGCAAAUUUCACCAAGCGUUGGAUUGUUCACCCAUGCAAGGGAACUUGAGCUCGGUUUAGACCGUCGUGAGACAGGUUAGUUUUACCCUACUAAUGACAAAAUGUUGCUGCCACAGCAUUCCUGCGUAGUACGAGAGGAACCGCAGUUACGGACCAAUGCCACAAUACUUGUUCGAGCGAACAGUGGUAUGACGCUACGUCCGUUGGAUUAUGCCUGAACGCCUCUAAGGUCGUAUCCGUGCUGGACUGCAAUGAUAAAUAAGGGGCAAUUUGCAUUGUAUGGCUUCUAAACCAUUAAAAGUUUAUAAUUUAUGUCAUAAACGACAAUGGAUGUGAUGCCAAUGUAAUCAGUAACAUAGUAAAUAGGGAGGAUCAUCGAUCACCUGAUGCCG
rnacentral:ncRNA from 1 species